GCUUGUGUAGCACAGUCGGUAGUGCAGCGCAUUCGUAAUGCGCAGGUCGUCCGUUCGAGCCGGAUCACAAGCUCCA
rnacentral:tRNA from 2 species